rnacentral:rRNA from 1 species
GACGUAGGGGGCGAGCGUUGUCCGGAUUUACUGGGCGUAAAGGGCGCGUAGGCGGCCUGCUAAGUCGAACGUGAAAUCCCCGGGCUCAACCCGGGAACUGCGUCCGAUACUGGCAGGCUUGAAUCCGGGAGAGGGAUGCGGAAUUCCAGGUGUAGCGGUGAAAUGCGUAGAUAUCUGGAGGAACACCGGUGGCGAAGGCGGCAUCCUGGACCGGCAUUGACGCUGAGGCGCGAAAGCCAGGGGAGCAAACGGG